UACGAAGGGGGCUAGCGUUGCUCGGAAUCACUGGGCGUAAAGCGCACGUAGGCGGAUCUUUAAGUCAGGGGUGAAAUCCUGGAGCUCAACUCCAGAACUGCCUCUGAUACUGGGGGAUCUUGAGUCCGGAAGAGGUAAGUGGAACUGCGAGUGUAGAGGUGAAAUUCGUAGAUAUUCGCAAGAACACCAGUGGCGAAAGGCGGCUUACUGGUCCGGUACUGACGCUGAGGGUGCGGAAAAGCGUGGGGGAGCAAACAGGGAUUAAGAA
rnacentral:rRNA from 1 species